CCCAGUGCUGCUGCUGCUGCUUGCAAUGAGGAGUGUGCUAAAUGCAGGCUGCAUCCCAUCUGCUCCUGGAGUUCUUGGCAGCCUUUGCACAGUCUAAUUUCUUCAACUCUUUCUUGGUGAGAGUCGGGUUUGCUUCAGCAUUUCUUCUUCCUCCUUGAUGGAAGGAAACUCUUACCCAAAGGGAAUCUAAUUAUCCUCUGCUUGUUGAAGAAAAAUACUUUGAUUUCAGUGGGAUUUGCUUGCCAGGAGCUGCAGGACAGGAAUUAACAGGAAAUACAGGCAGACACAGUGUUACAGGUGCAGAGGAUUGGCAGAUUUACAGAAGGCAGACUGUCAUGGCAAUGCAUGGUUUCAUUCAAAGCACCCUGCACAGGAGAGUUGAGUAAUAUGCUUCAUCAGCACAGAGGGUAACAUUUUCUCCCAGUGUUCAUGUCUUGACUAUCAAACCACUGCA